rnacentral:rRNA from 1 species
GGAUUAGAUACCCUGGUAGUCCACGCCGUAAACGCUGGUCACUAGCUGUCCGGUGCAAUUGCGCACCGGGUGGUCAAGCGAAAGUGAUAAGUGACCCACCUGGGGAUUACGUUCGCAAGAAUGAAACUCAAAGGAAUUGACGGGGGCCCGCACAAGCGGUGGAGCAUGUGGUUUAAUUCGAUGAUACGCGAGGAACCUUACCAGGGCUUAAAUGCAUAUUGCCCGGGGUGGAAACACCCUUUUCUUACGACAAUUUGCAAGGUGCUGCAUGGCUGUCGUCAGCUCGUGCCG